AUGAUCAACUGCCGUCUCUCCUCUGGACUGCAAAGUUUUGCACUGCGCAGAGUAGCGGAGGUCGCCACGAGGCUGCAUUGGGAACAGCGGGGACCUGAUGUCCCGGCCACCCCUUCCCCUCUGGGCCUCUCUGCAUGCAGCUCCUCCCACCUGGCAGGGCUGCUUGAGCUUCCUUACAGCAUGGACGCCGACCUUCCGGAAGCCACAUUCCAAUGGCUGUGCUUGUCCAUCUUUUGCUUGGGCGUGUCCUGUUGUUUGUGCACCACACCUGCCUGUGGCGCAUCGGUCAAAGCAAGUCACACGGCCAGACCCAAAGUCAGUGGCACAGGGGCCUCUGCCAGGGUGGGAUGGCAGAGAGGCUUGGUUCACUGGGGACUGCCCACGAUACCUUGCUUUUCUGCUGGCCUUCACAACAAGGGCCCGAGAAGCCCCUCUGUGGCUUGGGUUUGGCCGAUUCAGGUGACAACGUCUCGUGUUUUCUUUCUGCAGGUUUCCUCCUCUCUGCUUCCAAAGGAGCUUCAGCAGGAACUGCCAGCCGCUCUCCCGAGACCUGCAGGUGCACCUGCUUGGGGCCUCCCUGAGGGCUGCCUCCUUUUCUGCGAAGGCACCAGCACUGUCAUCAGGCUCUUGUCUUUCUAUUCAUGGGAAACUAGUUUACUCCCCUCUCCUCACUCCUUUGAAGACGUGGAAAUCCACAGACUUCAAGGCUACUUUUCUAAGCUAACGGUUGGUGGCAGCCCUUGGAUCUCAACGAGGCCUAUGAGCAAGGUUCUCCCUUACUCGCGGCUGCCGUGUGUUACUAUUGGUCCUCAAAUGGACCCAGGCCACUUGACCCAGAACCAGCACCACCGCAGCGUCAGCCACGCUCUCGGCACUGCCCUCUCACUCCCCUCCCACAGCUCCCUCCUCCUGGGGUCGGUACCUCUUGCCCAGAAGAGGAGAGCAGAGUACGUAGGUGGUUUAUUCAACAGCACAGAGCUACUGAGCGGGAGAACUAGGAGCAGAACCCCGACACUAGGUCUGCAGACCACCGUCCUCCCUUCUCGGAAGAGGCAGUGUGUGCUUUGGUAA
rnacentral:lncRNA from 1 species